UGCCUACGGGGGGCAGCAGUGGGGGAUAUUGGACAAUGGGGGGAACCCUGAUCCAGCGACGCCGCGUGAGUGAAGAAGUAUUUCGGUAUGUAAACCUCUUUUGUCGGGGAGCAAGACCCGCCUCGUGCAGGCGGAGCGAGAGUACCCGAAGAAAAAGCAUCGGCUAACUCCGUGCCAGCAGCCGCGGUAAUACGGAGGAUGCGAGCGUUAUCCGGAUUUAUUGGGUUUAAAGGGUGCGCAGGCGGCGAGUUAAGUCAGCGGUAAAAUUUCGGGGCUCAACCCCGACGAGCCGUUGAAACUGGCUU
rnacentral:rRNA from 1 species